rnacentral:rRNA from 1 species
GGGUUGUGAGGUUAAGCGACUAAGCGUACACGGUGGAUGCCCUGGCAGUCAGAGGCGAUGAAGGACGUGCUAAUCUGCGAUAAGCGUCGGUGAGGUGAUAUGAACCGUUAUAACCGGCGAUUUCCGAAUGGGGAAACCCAGUGUGUUUCGACACACUAUCAUUAACUGAAUCCAUAGGUUAAUGAGGCGAACCGGGGGAACUGAAACAUCUAAGUACCCCGAGGAAAAGAAAUCAACCGAGAUUCCCCCAGUAGCGGCGAGCGAACGGGGAGGAGCCCAGAGCCUGAAUCAGUGUGUGUGUUAGUGGAAGCGUCUGGAAAGGCGCGCGAUACAGGGUGACAGCCCCGUACACAAAAAUGCACAUAUUGUGAGCUCGAUGAGUAGGGCGGGACACGUGGUAUCCUGUCUGAAUAUGGGGGGACCAUCCUCCAAGGCUAAAUACUCCUGACUGACCGAUAGUGAACCAGUACCGUGAGGGAAAGGCGAAAAGAACCCCGGCGAGGGGAGUGAAAAAGAACCUGAAACCGUGUACGUACAAGCAGUGGGAGCCUCUUAAUGGGGUGACUGCGUACCUUUUGUAUAAUGGGUCAGCGACUUAUAUUCUGUAGCAAGGUUAACCGAAUAGGGGAGCCGAAGGGAAACCGAGUCUUAACUGGGCGUUAAGUUGCAGGGUAUAGACCCGAAACCCGGUGAUCUAGCCAUGGGCAGGUUGAAGGUUGGGUAACACUAACUGGAGGACCGAACCGACUAAUGUUGAAAAAUUAGCGGAUGACUUGUGGCUGGGGUGAAAGGCCAAUCAAACCGGGAGAUAGCUGGUUCUCCCCGAAAGCUAUUUAGGUAGCGCCUCGUGAAUUCAUCUCCGGGGUAGAGCACUGUUUCGGCAAGGGGGUCAUCCCGACUUACCAACCCGAUGCAAACUGCGAAUACCGGAGAAUGUUAUCACGGGAGACACACGGCGGGUGCUAACGUCCGUCGUGAAGAGGGAAACAACCCAGACCGCCAGCUAAGGUCCCAAAGUCAUGGUUAAGUGGGAAACGAUGUGGGAAGGCCCAGACAGCCAGGAUGUUGGCUUAGAAGCAGCCAUCAUUUAAAGAAAGCGUAAUAGCUCACUGGUCGAGUCGGCCUGCGCGGAAGAUGUAACGGGGCUAAACCAUGCACCGAAGCUGCGGCAGCGACACUAUGUGUUGUUGGGUAGGGGAGCGUUCUGUAAGCCUGUGAAGGUGGCCUGUGAGGGUUGCUGGAGGUAUCAGAAGUGCGAAUGCUGACAUAAGUAACGAUAAAGCGGGUGAAAAGCCCGCUCGCCGGAAGACCAAGGGUUCCUGUCCAACGUUAAUCGGGGCAGGGUGAGUCGACCCCUAAGGCGAGGCCGAAAGGCGUAGUCGAUGGGAAACAGGUUAAUAUUCCUGUACUUGGUGUUACUGCGAAGGGGGACGGAGAAGGCUAUGUUGGCCGGGCGACGGUUGUCCCGGUUUAAGCGUGUAGGCUGGUUUUCCAGGCAAAUCCGGAAAAUCAAGGCUGAGGCGUGAUGACGAGGCACUACGGUGCUGAAGCGACAAAUGCCCUGCUUCCAGGAAAAGCCUCUAAGCAUCAGGUAACAUCAAAUCGUACCCCAAACCGACACAGGUGGUCAGGUAGAGAAUACCAAGGCGCUUGAGAGAACUCGGGUGAAGGAACUAGGCAAAAUGGUGCCGUAACUUCGGGAGAAGGCACGCUGAUAUGUAGGUGAAGCGACUUGCUCGUGGAGCUGAAAUCAGUCGAAGAUACCAGCUGGCUGCAACUGUUUAUUAAAAACACAGCACUGUGCAAACACGAAAGUGGACGUAUACGGUGUGACGCCUGCCCGGUGCCGGAAGGUUAAUUGAUGGGGUUAGCGGUAACGCGAAGCUCUUGAUCGAAGCCCCGGUAAACGGCGGCCGUAACUAUAACGGUCCUAAGGUAGCGAAAUUCCUUGUCGGGUAAGUUCCGACCUGCACGAAUGGCGUAAUGAUGGCCAGGCUGUCUCCACCCGAGACUCAGUGAAAUUGAACUCGCUGUGAAGAUGCAGUGUACCCGCGGCAAGACGGAAAGACCCCGUGAACCUUUACUAUAGCUUGACACUGAACAUUGAGCCUUGAUGUGUAGGAUAGGUGGGAGGCUUUGAAGUGUGGACGCCAGUCUGCAUGGAGCCGACCUUGAAAUACCACCCUUUAAUGUUUGAUGUUCUAACGUGGGCCCCUUACCGGGGUUGCGGACAGUGUCUGGUGGGUAGUUUGACUGGGGCGGUCUCCUCCUAAAGAGUAACGGAGGAGCACGAAGGUUGGCUAAUCCUGGUCGGACAUCAGGAGGUUAGUGCAAUGGCAUAAGCCAGCUUGACUGCGAGCGUGACGGCGCGAGCAGGUGCGAAAGCAGGUCAUAGUGAUCCGGUGGUUCUGAAUGGAAGGGCCAUCGCUCAACGGAUAAAAGGUACUCCGGGGAUAACAGGCUGAUACCGCCCAAGAGUUCAUAUCGACGGCGGUGUUUGGCACCUCGAUGUCGGCUCAUCACAUCCUGGGGCUGAAGUAGGUCCCAAGGGUAUGGCUGUUCGCCAUUUAAAGUGGUACGCGAGCUGGGUUUAGAACGUCGUGAGACAGUUCGGUCCCUAUCUGCCGUGGGCGCUGGAGAACUGAGGGGGGCUGCUCCUAGUACGAGAGGACCGGAGUGGACGCAUCACUGGUGUUCGGGUUGUCAUGCCAAUGGCACUGCCCGGUAGCUAAAUGCGGAAGAGAUAAGUGCUGAAAGCAUCUAAGCACGAAACUUGCCCCGAGAUGAGUUCUCCCUGACUCCUUGAGAGUCCUGAAGGAACGUUGAAGACGACGACGUUGAUAGGCCGGGUGUGUAAGCGCAGCGAUGCGUUGAGCUAACCGGUACUAAUGAACCGUGAGGCUUAACCUUACAACGCCGAAG